CACGUAGGGGGCGAGCGUUGUCCGGAAUUUAUUGGGCGUAAAGAGCUCGUAGGCGGUCUGUCGCGUCGGGAUGUGAAAAACCCAGGGCUCAACCCUGGGCCUGCUUCCGAUACGGGCAGACUAGAGGUAUGCAGGGGGAGAACGGAAUUCCUGGUGUAGCGGUGAAAUGCGCAGAUAUCAGGAGGAACACCGGUGGCGAAGGCGGUUCUCUGGGCAU
rnacentral:rRNA from 1 species